rnacentral:tRNA from 2 species
GCGCUUGUAGCUCAACCGGAUAGAGCACCGGCCUUCUAAGCCGGGGGUCGCAGGUUCGAGUCCUGCCAAGCGCA